AUACGGAGGAUGCGAGCGUUAUCCGGCUUUAUUGGGUUUAAAGGGAGCGUAGGUGGGAUAUUAAGUCAGCUGUGAAAGUUUGGGGCUCAACCUUAAAAUUGCAGUUGAUACUGGUUUCCUUGAGUACGGUACAGGUGGGCGGAAUUCGUGGUGUAGCGGUGAAAUGCUUAGAUAUCACGAAGAACUCCGAUCGCGAAGGCAGCUCACCGGGCCGGAACUGACACUGAUGCUCGAAAGUGCGGGUAUCAAACAGGAUUAGAUACCCUGGUAGUCCGCACAGUAAACGAUGAAUACUCGCUGUUUGCGAUACACGGUAAGCGGCCAAGCGAAAGCGUUAAGUAUUCCACCUGGGGAGUACGCCGGCAACGGUGAAACUCAAAGGAAUUGACGGGG
rnacentral:rRNA from 1 species